AUACAAUUGUGGAUCCUUAAAGGCCAGUUGUUGGUGUCUGUAAACAUUAAAAAGGGGUUUACAACUGUUUCCUUAAUUCAAAUAUAAAAAUUCUACAAGCUUAAAGCCAAAGUAUUAAUCACUUAGUGACCGAUUAUCCAUGCAGAUCUUCAAUAAACUUCACAUAAAACAAAAUGUCCGAUAAGUCGCUCCAUUCAUUUCAGAGCACUGCAAAGGCAACGCUUCAGUCGCUUGAAGCAGCUCUCGAUUCCCUCUCUCGAUCGCUCUUACUAUCCUCCAGUGACCUGCCAACGAUCU
rnacentral:lncRNA from 1 species